UACAGAGGUCUCAAGCGUUGUUCGGAUUCAUUGGGCGUAAAGGGUGUGUAGGUGGCGCCGUAAGUCGGGUGUGAAAUUUCGAGGCUUAACCUCGAAACUGCAUUCGAUACUGCGGUGCUUGAGGACUGGAGAGGAGACUGGAAUUCAUGGUGUAGCAGUGAAAUGCGUAGAUAUCAUGAGGAAUACCGAUGGCGAAGGCAGGUCUCUGGGCUAUAACUGACGCUCAUGCACGAAAGCGUGGGGAGCAAACAGG
rnacentral:rRNA from 1 species